ACGAACGCUGGCGGCGUGCUUAACACAUGCAAGUCGAACGGUAAGGCCCCUUCGGGGGUACACGAGUGGCGACCGGGUGAGUAACACGUGAGCAACCUGCCCUUGACUCUGGAAUAACAGUUGGAAACAGCUGCUAAUACUGGAUAUUCAUCGUCUCCUUCCUGGGGGGUGGUGGAAAGCUCCGGCGGUCAGGGAUGGGCUCGCGGCCUAUCAGCUUGUUGGUGAGGUAAUGGCUCACCAAGGCUUCGACGGGUAGCCGGCCUGAGAGGGCGACCGGCCACACUGGGACUGAGAUACGGCCCAGACUCCUACGGGAGGCAGCAGUGGGGAAUAUUGCACAAUGGGCGCAAGCCUGAUGCAGCAACGCCGCGUGCGGGAUGACGGCCUUCGGGUUGUAAACCGCUUUCAGUAGGGACGAAGGGUGACUGACGGUACCUACAGAAGAAGGACCGGCUAACUACGUG
rnacentral:rRNA from 1 species